UACAGAGGUCCCAAGCGUUGUUCGGAUUCACUGGGCGUAAAGGGUGCGUAGGUGGCGAGGUAAGUCGGAUGUGAAAGCUCGGAGCUCAACUCCGAAAUGGCAUUGGAAACUACCUUGCUCGAGGGUUGGAGGGGGGACUGGAAUUCUCGGUGUAGCAGUGAGAUGCGUAGAUAUCGAGAGGAACACCAGUGGCGAAGGCGACUUUCUGGUCUGUAACUGACGCUGAGGCGCGAAAGCGUGGGGAGCAAACAGG
rnacentral:rRNA from 1 species